CGCAGCUCCAGCUCCAGCUCCUCCUGAGGCCGCUCCUGCUGCAGUUGCCGGCGGAACUCCUCCAGCAGCUGCUCCACGCCCGACAGCUGCGCGUGCAGUUCGGACAGCGGCGCCGCGGGCGGCAAGGCCGCACGGCCGCUCGGCAGCCACAGGCAGAGCAGUAGCAGCCCGCGCAGCGCCCCGUGACGCGGCGGUAGCCGGCGCUGCGAGCCCGCGCUCUCCCGGGCGACGGAGGCCAUGGCGACGAGAGCCAAGGUCAGCGAGCCGAGGCGGGGCUGAGCGCGGGAGGAAGGCGGGGACGCGGGCGCGGGCGAGCGCGGGCCCUGGGCCCCUCCUGCGCGGCCGCGGCUGGCUCUAGGCCCCGGCCUCACAGCGCGGCGCCCCCGAACCCGGCUGCUCCCCCGAGGUCGCGGGCGCCGGCGGGAACCGCAGUAGCGGGAGACAUAGCCGGCCCAGCCGGGCACCGCUCCUUGCCCUCGCCGGAGACUGCCCAGCGCCCUGCGCCUCUCCGCCCCGGCCUGCGGCGCGCUGGGUGGCGGCGAGUCGGCCUCGGCGCUGAUCAGCACCAGGAUGAACCGUUGUCCACAUUCUCUUCUCUGAGUCAAAGAGGAGGAAGAUCUGUCCAUCGAAACUGAACUGCCAAGAUCCGCUGCUGUGUCCUUCGGCUUUCUGCUCACAAGACAUCCUUGCCUGCAGGGUGAGGGGUUCUGCCCCCAUCAGAGAGAGAUCAGCUCUGGCCUUGACAGAUAUUGAGCCCCCAUCCUCUUCCACUUGCAAUUUCCUGGUCUUACUUGCUCUGCCACAUCCUGGCCUUGCCUCUAGACGUCUUGCGGGGUUGCCAUUGCCUGCUGUUGCUCUACAAAGGGACAGGACUGGACACUGAGACGGAGAACCCACGGCCUGCAAAGAUCACAGGGCAUCCUUCC
rnacentral:lncRNA from 1 species